UAUAAACCUAGUUCUCUUUUCUCUCGAGCUCUAGCCGCCGGAAAAAAAUGUAGAUCUGAGGCCGGAUCGCGGUGGCUGACCUAGCGCCGGUUCCGACCUCCCUUUCUCAGGCCAGAAGCUUUUGCUUCUCUUUUUCUUGUUUGUUGCGGCUUUGAUUGGAGAUUUGAGAAUGAGACAUGGGGUUGCGGUGGUUCGAUUCCGACAUGAGGAAGGUUUGAGUGGUAUUUUGGAUUGGUGGUUUUUUCUUCCGCCGAGGCAUGGCUUUCGAUGAGAAGCAGGGUUCUCGAAUUAGGUAGUGGUAGUGGUAUCUGCUUCAGGAGUUGGCGGUGGAGGUCUCUUUCGGUUGCGUUUCUUUUCAUGCGGAUUUAAGGUUGCGGACUUCGUUUUGGCUAUCGGUGAAUGAUGCUGGUUCGAGCCAAGGAGAAAAGAUAUCGCCUUUAGCUUCUGAUGUAUCUUCGCCAGUGGAAGCAGAUUUAUCAGUGACAGUGGCUUCACUUCUUCAGACACACUCAACGCUGUCCCUGGAGAAUAGCCAGUUAUAGAAGAAGAAGCAGGCAAUGUUAUAGCAUGGCAAGCUCAUGAGGGAAGGAAGAGGCUCUUCCAGAUGAUAAAUGAUCUCCCAACCAUUUUUGAGGUUGACAACCACAACAGUAGCAGAAGCAAAUCUAUCGGUGCCAAGCCUCGCCACUCUGAAUCUCACACUAAGGCUUCAAAGAUGUCCCCACCACCAAAAGAAGAAGAUGAGAGUGGAGAUGACGAGGAAGAUGACGAACAAGGUUACAAUGCAAGCGAUUUGUGUAGGUGAGUACAAGUUAUCAAAGAAUGACCCUCUGAGACUAAAAUCUGGAUUGGGAUACUGAGGGUGCAAUAACAACAAUUAGCUCUAGUGUUUUAUAUAGUCUUGUUGUAUACCUCUAUUUGUAUGGUUGGAUAAAUACAAAUUAGAACAUCCUCCGUUGCUAUAUUGUCUUCUUUUGAAAUUUAUAAAAUUUAUCAUUUUGCUCUUCA